AAAAGGAAACAAAAGGGCAGAGAGAGAGAGAAUCAAAGCCCUCUUCUUCUUUUGUAAUCAAAUCUCUCACGCACGACUCUGAGAGAGAGAGAGACAGAAAGAGUCCAUCGUCUUCCGUCUUCUCCGAUCGAAAUAGCAUUUAUAUUCAUCGUCACCUUAUUGGCUAUGCAGUCAACGAGUUUGCUACUCCUGAAGAAGGAGAAUUGAGAUCAGAUUAUAUAAAUGAGAGACAUGUUGUGUUUAGAAUGCAGUUGUUAUGAUAUUCAUCUCGCUGAGUGGCAUCCUUUGGAAUCUUUAAACUCCUCCUAAACCCUCUUUUUUUACUCCAGGGUUCUUCAGUUUUAUAUUUCAGUUGUUUUUUUUCUAAUUAUUUGGG